rnacentral:rRNA from 1 species
UACGUAGGGUGCGAGCGUUAAUCGGAAUUACUGGGCGUAAAGCGUGCGCAGGCGGUUUUGUAAGUCAGAUGUGAAAUCCCCGAGCUCAACUUGGGAACUGCGUUUGAAACUACAAGACUAGAAUAUGUCAGAGGGGGGUAGAAUUCCACGUGUAGCAGUGAAAUGCGUAGAGAUGCGGCGGGAAACACCCGAUGGCGAAGGCAGCCCCCUGGGCUGAGAUUGACGCUCGAGGCACGGAAGCGUGGGGAGCAAACAGG